rnacentral:rRNA from 1 species
UAGAGUUUGAUCCUGGCUCAGAUUGAACGCUGGCGGCAGGCCUAACACAUGCAAGUCGAGCGGUAACAUUUCUAGCUUGCUAGAAGAUGACGAGCGGCGGACGGGUGAGUAAUGCUUGGGAACAUGCCUUGAGGUGGGGGACAACAGUUGGAAACGACUGCUAAUACCGCAUAAUGUCUACGGACCAAAGGGGGCUUCGGCUCUCGCCUUUAGAUUGGCCCAAGUGGGAUUAGCUAGUUGGUGAGGUAAUGGCUCACCAAGGCGACGAUCCCUAGCUGGUUUGAGAGGAUGAUCAGCCACACUGGGACUGAGACACGGCCCAGACUCCUACGGGAGGCAGCAGUGGGGAAUAUUGCACAAUGGGCGCAAGCCUGAUGCAGCCAUGCCGCGUGUGUGAAGAAGGCCUUCGGGUUGUAAAGCACUUUCAGUCAGGAGGAAGGGUUAGUAGUUAAUACCUGCUAGCUGUGACGUUACUGACAGAAGAAGCACCGGCUAACUCCGUGCCAGCAGCCGCGGUAAUA